rnacentral:rRNA from 1 species
UACAGAGGUCUCAAGCGUUGUUCGGAUUCAUUGGGCGUAAAGGGUGCGUAGGUGGCGAGGUAAGUUGGAUGUGAAAUCCCGGGGCUCAACCCCGGAACUGCAUUCAAUACUGCCUUGCUGGAGUACUGGAGAGGAGAUUGGAAUUUACGGUGUAGCAGUGAAAUGCGCAGAUAUCAGGAGGAACACCGGUGGCGAAGGCGGUUCUCUGGGCAUUACCUGACGCUGAGGAGCGAAAGUGUGGGGAGGCGAACAGG